rnacentral:misc_RNA from 1 species
GAUGAAGAACGUAGCGAAAUGGGAUAAGUAAUGUGAAUUGCAGAAUUCAGUGAAUCAUCGAAUCUUUGAACGCACCUUGCGCCCUUUGGUAUUCCGAGGGGCAUGCCUGUUUGAGUGUCAUUAAAUACCAUCAACCCUCUUUUGACUUCGGUCUCGAGAGUGGCUUGGAAGUGGAGGUCUGCUGGAGCCUAACGGAGCCAGCUCCUCUUAAAUGUAUUAGCGGAUUUCCCUUGCGGGAUCGCGUCUCCGAUGUGAUAAUUUCUACGUCGUUGACCAUCUCGGGGCUGACCUAGUCAGUUUCAAUAGGAGUCUGCUUCUAACCGUCUCUUGACCGAGACUAGCGACUUGUGCGCUAACUUUUGACUUGACCUCAAAUCAGGUAGGACUACCCGCUGAACUUAAGCAUAUCAAUAAGCGGAGGA